UACGGAGGGGGCUAGCGUUGUUCGGAAUUACUGGGCGUAAAGCGCACGUAGGCGGCUUUGUAAGUUAGAGGUGAAAGCCCGGGGCUCAACUCCGGAAUUGCCUUUAAGACUGCAUCGCUAGAAUUGUGGAGAGGUAAGUGGAAUUCCGAGUGUAGAGGUGAAAUUCGUAGAUAUUCGGAAGAACACCGGUGGCGAAGGCGGGUCUCUGGGCCGAUACUGACGCUGAGGAGCGAAAGCGUGGGGAGCGAACAGG
rnacentral:rRNA from 1 species